ACACCCACCUCCCUUAAAAAAGGAUCAGCCAAAAACCAAACACCUUAGAUACACCCCCACUGCCUUAUUUUACUUGACACCGAAAAACAACCUCAAAGAGAAAGACCUCCAUCAUCACCUUCUCUUAGACAAAAGAGAGCCAGCCAUCCAACCUCGUUUCCAAGGCGCUACUACUUCCGUCCAAAAGACCCUCUCCUCCCCGAAGUACCUUCAGCCGUUUCCAAAUAUCCUUUGACGCCGGCAAUAGCCAUGAACGCUGGCAGACACCCCUUUCUCUACUCUCUCACCGCCGAACUCCCUUCUCCAAAAAACCAACCGUUCAAGGUUUGUUUGUCUCUUCGAUAUGGUUCGUGGGUUUGCUCGAUUUUAUAGCUGUCCUUAAUCGAAUUGUGGAGACGAGUUUUGUAUAUGUCAAUUCGAUAUUAAGAAGAGUUUCGGCUAAACAGAUUCAUUUUUCACUCUUCUCUUCUUUAUUUGAUUACACUCGGAACAAAUCGAUUAUUGUUUGGAUUGCGUCAUUAGUGAUUUCUGAAAGUUUGUUUAAUUUUUAAUUUAGUUUUUUGUUGUGUUGUGUAUGUUCCCUUUGUGUCUUAUUUCCUAGAAAAUCCCUAUUUUAAUGAGUUUGGAGUUGAUAGAUCUUAAUUCCGUGUCAUUUUGCUUUUAAUUUGUUUCAAACCUUAAAAAUAAUUUAGUAGACAAACUGCAAUGUUUCAGCUAUUACUGCUACUGUGAGAAUAGGGUACUGGUUGUGGUAGUUGAGAAGCUUCUUCCACCACCUAAGCCUAAGACGGUUAAAAUUGCAAUUUCAUGAAUUUUAGUUAUUAUUAAUGUGCGUCAGUCGUAAUUCAGCUUUGUCACCUAACCUUAGCAAUCUAAGUUUUUAUUAUCAUUUUACUCAUUUAGGCCAUGCAUUUGGAUUGAAUAGUUGGUCCAGCUUUUUCUUAAUUCUACCAUAUAGGACAAUGCUCCAUAGAAUAACUCACAUAUCAAUAUUUUGAUUUAAGUGUGCUCUUAAUUAAUUAAAUUAUUAUGAUUAUAUAUACGGUCACGUGAUAUCGUUAUGAUUUUCAAAAGUAAAACCAAGGAAUGUGUUUGCGCAACCUUAGGCUAAACAAUCUUAAUAAUCUUAAAGUUUUAUUAAUUGUGUAUACGUAUGCAUGAUAUGAUUCUUGAUGCACCGAACGAAAUGAGUACACGUACGUGUGACUCGUUUCAAGAUAAUUUCAAAAUCGCAAAUUAUCAAGUAAUUAAAAGCGGUAAAAGGUAAAAUGCACAUAGGUUCUAAAAUGAGUAAAUAAAUUAUUUGAUAUUACUGUAUUUGUGGACCUAAUAUGCUAAUUGCCGCUCAUUUACCGCUUUGAUAUUAUUUGAAUUGUAUAAUCUGCCUUCUUAUGUCUCCCUUCUAAGUCUUCAGAACUAUUGGUGCACACAUGAGCGUGACCCAGUUUUCUGUUAGAGGUCGUACCAAGUAGAACAAGGCAGGAUCAACAACUAUGCCGUGUAGACUUUCACACUCCCGGUACAUUGUCCCCACCUUGGUCGGAGCUGUCCGCUUGGGUAAGUCAUGUCUAGAACACACCCCCAAUUUUAGACCUAGAAUGACAUAACCUCAUGUCGAAUCCCUAGUAGGCACGUUUGUUUGCAUCAUGUGCAUUUAACUUUAGGGACUCAACACAGGGAUUGGGUCCAUCUAGGACAGGUGUACCAAAAAAUAAAAGACUAACUUGAUGCAUCUUAUAUGCGACAUGUUGCAUUCUUCAAGGGUAAAAAUGGUCAUUUGGCGGAUAAAUGAUGGUUGAGGAUAAAUGAUAAAGAAAAGAGGGGGUGAAGUUUAAAAAUGAAGCAACUAAGAUCCCGUUAUAUUUUUCUCACAAAUUUUUUUGUUCAAGAAAAGACCAAAAAAAGUUAAAACAAAAAAACCUCUAAAAGAUUUUUCACAUUCCCAUCAUUUUUCUUUUCCAAAAAAAAAAGACAAAAUAUGUUUUCUCCCAAUCAGUUAUUCUUUUUAUUCUCGCACGUAUCCACUUUUCUCAAUUUAUGCGUUCCUGAUUCUCGUCUUUCGGAGAGUGAUACAUAGGAAGCCCACAUAGGGUCUAGUGUUCCUAGUGAUUCUUAACUUCUUGGCUUCGAGGGUUGUAGCAUAAUCUCGCAUGUCUAGCCAUUUUUAGCUACAUCAGUCGUUUUGCAAAAUAGGGCUAUUUUCACAGAGUGGCUUGUUCAACUAUAGAGUCUUGAAUCCAUAAUUAAAUGUAUUUUUACUUCAAGGCUCGUCCUUAUUAAAUUUGCAUGUCUAGCUACUUUUGGCCACAUCAGUCGUUCUUGCAAAUGACAACAACGACCCAGCAAAUUCCACUAGUGGAGUCUGGGGAAGGUAGUGUAUACGCAGACCUUACCCCUGCCCCGAAGAAUUAGAGAGACUAUUUCGGAAAGACCCUCACUCUUGCAAAAUGGGAUUAUUUUUGCAAAAAUGGUUCAACGACCCAUGUCUUAGAGUCCUACGUCCACAACAAUGUGUCCUCUCUGAUUAAGGUCCAUUAUUGUUGAAUUUGCAUGCUUAGCUUUUUUUUUUGCCACAUAGGCCACUUCUACAAUAUGGAUCAUUUCAACAAAGUUAUUUUUCCAUGUCUUAGAGGUCACAUCUGCUGAGUUUGUACUUCUAGCCACCUUUUCGACACGUAGGCCAUUUUGCAAAAAUAGCCGAAUCAUGCCUUGAAUGUAUCAAAUAGGAAGUGUUUUGGUCAUACAUAGUGUCCCGAGUCACUAACUCUGUUCUAUUUUAUUUUUCUCAUUCAGGUAUGGAUCCAUUUAUCAAAGCUCGAGCACGAUAGACGGCCAAUGACCCUCAUGGUCAGGAC
rnacentral:lncRNA from 1 species